rnacentral:misc_RNA from 1 species
GAACUGCGAUAAGUAAUGUGAAUUGCAGAAUUCAGUGAAUCAUCGAGUCUUUGAACGCACAUUGCGCCCCCUGGCAUUCCGGGGGGCAUGCCUGUCCGAGCGUCAUUGCUGCCCUUCAAGCCCGGCUUGUGUGUUGGGUCGUCGUCCCCUCCGGGGGACGGGCCCGAAAGGCAGCGGCGGCACCGCGUCCGGUCCUCGAGCGUAUGGGGCUUUGUCACCUGCUCGAUAAGGACCGGCCGGGCGCCAGCCGGCGUCUCCAACCUUUUUUUCUCAGGUUGACCUCGGAUCAGGUAGGGAUACCCGCUGAACUUAAGC